GGACGCGGGAAGCCAGUGUGCUCCGGACGCAGUGUCCUAGUGCUCGAUUGGGUCAUCCUCUGCAGCGCUGAUUGUCCCUGUCCAAGACUGCGGAAUGAAGAAUCCAGCUUUGAGAACCUGUGUGUAAGCCCUCUCUGGUCAGCAAAGGAAUCUGUGCCGAGCGCCAUGAAUUAGAGGAUGGAGGAAUGAGUGCUUGAAGAUGCCCGAGGUAUGGUCCUUAUCCGUGUGACAUUUGGAGCUAAGCUGGCGUUAUAAAUUGUGCUCAUGCAUUUCUAAUUAAAAGCCAUGGGAUUAGGCUUACCGAGGUCACUUAAUUGAACCCUUAUGUUCCAGGCUGUUAACACUGUUCCCCAGUUCUUUAGGAACUCAGUGAGAUGGGGCUGGUGGGAGAGAUGGGGGGAAAACUCGUGAACUGGCGCAUAGUUGGCACACC
ensembl:processed_transcript expressed sequence AA465934